UUAAGCUGAGAUGGAAGAGACUAUUUUCCAUUUCUACACAGUUAGAUUAGGUUAGUAGCGACAGACCAAGGAUUCUUGAGGGAAUCAAACCCACGACCCCUGCACUGCUAAUCAAAGUACGCUACCAACUCGGCUACCGGGGCGCCUUUCUACAUAGUUAAAUGAUGUACAAUUUUCGCUUAUACAACUCUUGGCACUGUCUUCGGAAUGGCCAGAUUAUUGACUGACUAACGUUUUACGGUUCUUCUGGAUCUACAUAAUCAGUAUCAUGUGAAAACUUCCUAUUUUAAGUAUUAUAUGGAAUUAGUAUCUGCUUUUGGCAAAUAAAGUUAUUUUAUCGUGUUGUAAUCUUUAA